GUGGGGAAUAUUGGACAAUGGGCGCAAGCCUGAUCCAGCCAUGCCGCGUGUGUGAAGAAGGCCUUUUGGUUGUAAAGCACUUUAAGCGAGGAGGAGGCUCCUUUAGUUAAUACCUAAAGAGAGUGGACGUUACUCGCAGAAUAAGCACCGGCUAACUCUGUGCCAGCAGCCGCGGUAAUACAGAGGGUGCGAGCGUUAAUCGGAUUUACUGGGCGUAAAGCGUGCGUAGGCGGCUUUUUAAGUCGGAUGUGAAAUCCCUGAGCUUAACUUAGGAAUUGCAUUCGAUACUGGAAAGCUAGAGUAUGGGAGAGGAUGGUAGAAUUCCAGGUGUAGCGGUGAAAUGCGUAGAGAUCUGGAGGAAUGCCGAUGGCGAAGGCAGCCAUCUGGCCUAAUACAGACGCUGAGGUACGAAAGCAUGGGGAGCAAACAGGAUUAGAUACCCGGGUAGUCC
rnacentral:rRNA from 1 species